rnacentral:tRNA from 1 species
GUUUAAGUAAUUUAAUUAAAAUAAUGGUUUUGUAAACCAUCAUUGAACUUUUCCUUAAACA